GGGGGGAUGGGAACGGGGAGGUCCUGGGCCUUGUGCUGGUCCCAGUUCUGGUUCCAUUCCUGGUCCUACCACC